rnacentral:lncRNA from 1 species
AGGAUAAGGAAGCCUGUGUGUGUACCAACAAUCAAAGCUACAUCUGUGACACAACAGGACACUGCUAUGGGCAGUCUCAGUGUUGUAACUACUACUAUGAACAUUGGUGGUUCUGGCUGGCAUGGACCAUCACCAUCAUCCUGAGCUGCUGCUGUGUCUGCCACCACAGCCAAGCCAGCCCUCAAGUCCAGCAGUAGCAACAUGAAAUCAACCUGACUGCCUAUCCAGAAGCCCGCAAUUACUCAGUGCUACCAUUUUAUUUCACCAAACUAUUUAUUACCUUCUUAUGAGGAAGUGGUGAACUAACCUCCACCUGUUUCCCUCCCUGUCU